CUCUGUUUUCGAAGGAGGGGAGCUUCUAAAGCGUACAAGAAAAGGAGAUCUUCACUGGAAGCAAGUAUCUUUCAAUAUGAAUUCAAAUUUACAGGUAAUUGC